CAUCCUUUUUUUCAGUACCACACAAUAGAUUACUGUUCUUCAGUAGUAAGAUCUGAAGUCAGGAAGCUGACUUCCUCAGAUCUUUCUCGUCUCAUCUACAUAGCUGAAGAAGGAAUGGUUGUGUGAAUAUCAAUAUGGUAUUGAUAAAUGCCUGAAAAGCCUCUGACAAUGUGUUUUCCAACCAGAAGGUUUGAACUUGAAACUCUCUCACAAAAAGUGAGUAAAACCUCUUUUCUCUCCAAGAGACUUUACUGUAACUACUACCAGGAGACAUUUUGUGAAAAGGGGGAUAAUGUUUUUUCCCUCACUUUUGUAUUUUCCACAUCUCGUAUUCUGCAUGGCACAUAGUGGUGUAUUCAGUAAAUAUUUGUUGAAUUAACAAAAUGUAAACAUGUUAACUUUUCUCUCCAAUAAGCAUUAGCACUACUGUUGGUGAAAGCAGUAUUAACAAGAUAACUUUUAGAUAAUUAUAAAUUGUAAAUGACAUGUGACUAAGUUUCUACUGUCAAAUAUAGAUUAUUUUUGCUUAUAUUAAUAUAUUUUAAAAGAUAAUAAAAGUUGUCUCAUAGUGGUCA